rnacentral:rRNA from 1 species
GGCCGCAGUAUUUUAACUGUGCAAAGGUAGCAUAAUCAUUAGUCUUUUAAUUGAAGGCUGGAAUGAAUGAUUGGAUGAGAUAUCUACUGUUUCAUAAAAAUUUUUUAUAGAAUUUUAUUUUUUAGUGAAAAAGCUAAAAUUUAUUUAAAAGACAAGAAGACCCUAUAAAUCUUUAUAUUUAAAUUUAUUAUAAAAUUAUAUUAUAAAAAUUUAAAUAUUUUAUUGGGGUGAUAUAAAAAUUUAAUUAACUUUUUAUAUAAAUUUACAUUAAUUUAUGAUUAAUUGAUCCAUUAAUAAUGAUUAUAAAAUUAAGUUACUUUAGGGAUAACAGCGUAAUUUUUUUGAAGAGUUCUUAUUAAUAAAAAAGAUUGCGACCUCGAUGUUGGAUU